AGCUCAGUCGGUAGAGCAUGGGACUCUUAAUCCCAGGGUUGUGGGUUAACCCUAU
rnacentral:tRNA from 1 species